UACAGAGGUCCCAAGCGUUGUUCGGAUUCACUGGGCGUAAAGGGUGCGUAGGUGGUCGGAUAAGUCUGAUGUGAAAUCUCCGAGCUCAACUCGGAAAUGGCAUUGGAUACUAUUCGGCUGAAGGGUUGGAGGGGGGACUGGAAUACUUGGUGUAGCAGUGAAAUGCGUAGAUAUCAAGUGGAACACCAGUGGCGAAGGCGAGUCCCUGGACAACUCCUGACACUGAGGCACGAAAGCUAGGGGAGCAAACAGG
rnacentral:rRNA from 1 species